UACGGAGGGUGCAAGCGUUAUCCGGAUUCACUGGGUUUAAAGGGUGCGUAGGCGGGUAUAUAAGUCAGUGGUGAAAGCUCCGAGCUUAACUUGGAAACUGCCAUUGAUACUGUAUAUCUUGAAUAUCGUAGAGGUUAGCGGAAUGUUGCAUGUAGCGGUGAAAUGCUUAGAUAUGUUACAGAACACCAAUUGCGAAGGCAGCUAACUAUGCGACAAUUGACGCUGAGGCACGAAAGCGUGGGGAGCAAACAGG
rnacentral:rRNA from 1 species